UACCUUUGUAGAUGUAGAUGUAAUUGUGGUUGCAUGCCAUCGAGCCGCUGUGGAUAUCGGCCAUCGUGCCACUGUGAUUGCUGGCCUUCGUGACGAUGCUUUUCUUGUAGGUCUUAAGAACCUCCCCGUGCAAGGGAGGUGCUGCCAAAAUUUUCAUUUGAAACCACUAUGUAUAUCUUUAACUUCAAGUAUUUAAUCCAAAAUUCACUUACGACACGUUUGUCUCAUCCUUUGUGCAGCUUCACUCCCAGGGUUCUACUCAAGCGCGCAAUGAGCAAAGUCCUCAAGACGGUGGGUGGAGCGGCCAUGUCAAUCCGUACCAACCUCCAAGCGAUUCAUGGGGCAGAUGAGAUGGAUUCGGUUGGUGAACUUGUAGUUUGUUCAUGGAAUUUGUCGUUUCAUCGGACGUGUUGUUGAACUUGUGGUUUCCUCAGACUUGUGAUGAACUAGAAAUAUUGUUGGACUUGGUGAUGAACAUGUGCUUAUGUAUAUGACAUGUAUGUUAUAUGUAUGUGAGAGAUUUGGUAUAUCAUGGUUAUUGUGGAAAAUGUGCGAUAUAUUGUGAUAUUUGUGUGCUAUGUGUGACUAAUGUGAUAUGUGCUAUGAUACAUGUGGUUGCAAAAUAAAAAAAAACAAAAAAUAAUUACCUGGGAAGGGGGUUUGUCGUGUGCUAGGGCCAUAACACACGACAAAGACCAAUGUUUGUCGUGUGUUAUGACCAUAGCACAUAGCAAACCUGCCUGCCAGGCCGCCUGUGCCAAACCUAGGAAGGGGGUUUGCCGUGUGCCCACCCCUGGCACACGGCAAACAUUGAGACUUUGUCAUGUGCCUGCAUGGUGGCACAUGGCAAAGAUUCAAAGUUUGUCGUGUGCCACC
rnacentral:lncRNA from 1 species